rnacentral:pre_miRNA from 1 species
UUCAGUCGGCAGGGGUUUCUUUCGGCCUUCAGCUGUUUGUAGUCUGUAGGCCGGCGGAAACUACUUGCUGACAGUG